rnacentral:lncRNA from 1 species
GAUAUCUCUUUUACCACCCUACUAAACAAAAGGUGUUUGUCAGUAAAUAUGCCACUUUUAUAGAAAAAGAGUGUAUCCUAGAAAGAGGUAGUGGGAAGAAAAUUGAAUUUGGAAAAGUUCAAGACCUAUAAAUGCAAGCACAAAAUGAUCCUCAAUCAGAAAUAUCUAUUAAUGAAGUACAAUAAUAAAAUACACCUCCUCUCUGAA